rnacentral:rRNA from 1 species
UACGGAGGGGACUAGCGUUGUUCGGAAUUACUGGGCGUAAAGCGCACGUAGGCGGAUUUGUAAGUCAGGGGUGAAAUCCCGGGGCUCAACCUCGGAACUGCCUUUGAUACUGCAAAUCUCGAGUCCGGAAGAGGUGAGUGGAAUUCACGGUGUAGCAGUGAAAUGCGUAGAGAUCGUGAGGAAGACCAGUGGCGAAGGCGGGUCUCUGGACAGUUCCUGACACUGAGGCACGAAGGCCAGGGGAGCAAACGGG